CGCCAUUUUCGAAGGCUCUGCUAUCGGCGCUGGUUUGGAAUCUGUUGGGCCACGUAUUGUACUCCCGCUGCAGGUGGUGACCUGUGGAACCCAGAGGAGUACCUUCUUGCUGAUCGCCACGUGUUGGGAGCGGCUAGAGAACGUCACUACAGUAUUCUGCAUGUUAUUCACCAGUUAUUUUUCUUUUCACGUCUGUUAUGCUGAAAGAUUGUAGUCUACUUUGGAAUUCGUUCAAAGGGCACUUUUGGUAUUAACCCAGACCAUGGAAGCAAGGCUGAGAAAAAAAGCAAGGAAAGAGAACCCAAAAACAUUCAGUUUGACGAAAAAAUCAUGGAUUCUGAAUGGAAUGUUUACAUUUUUGAACACCUAAAAAAGUACAAGAUGGAUCAAACUGCUACAAAGAGAUUAUGAUAAAGUUAUUUAUUGUGCCUGGAAUGGACAUAUGCCAAAUGCAGAAUCCAGGUGUGUGGAGAACUUUAAUAAAUAGCAGUAUUGCCCAUUUCCA
rnacentral:lncRNA from 1 species